GAAACUUUAGCCCAGUGCUUGACGGUAGAGCGGCAGUCUAGUAAUCUGAAGGUCAUCAGUUCGAUCCUGUCAGGAGGCA